rnacentral:rRNA from 1 species
GACAGAGGGUGCAAACGUUGUUCGGAAUUACUGGGCGUAAAGCGCGUGUAGGCAGCGUCGCAAGUCGGGUGUGAAAGCCCUGGGCUUAACCUAGGAAGUGCACUCGAAAUUGCGAGGCUUGAGUUCUGGAGAGGAAGGCGGAAUUCUCGGUGUAGAGGUGAAAUUCGUAGAUACCGAGAGGAACAUCGGUGGCGAAGGCGGCCUUCUGGACAGUGACUGACGCUGAGACGCGAAAGCGUGGGGAGCAAACAGG